UGGCUCAGACAGUAAAGCAUCUGCCUACAAUGCAGGAGACCCGGGUUCGAUCCCUGG
rnacentral:tRNA from 1 species